rnacentral:rRNA from 1 species
CGUAGGGACCGAGCGUUGUCCGGAUUCAUUGGGCGUAAAGAGCUCGUAGGCGGCUGCUCAAGUCGAAUGUGAAAACUCGAGGCUCAACCUCGAGCCUGCAUUCGAUACUGGGCGGCUAGAGUCUGGUAGGGGGAUCUGGAAUUCCUGGUGUAGCGGUGGAAUGCGCAGAUAUCAGGAGGAACACCGGUGGCGAAGGCGGGAUCCUGGGCCAGUACUGACGCUGAGGAGCGAAAGCGUGGGGAGCAAACAGGAUUAGAUACCCUGGUAGUCCACGCCGUAAACGAUGGGCGCUAGGUGUGGGAGGUCAUCGACUCCUUCCGUGCCGCAGCUAACGCAUUAAGCAUUCCGCCUGGGGAGUACGGUCGCAAGGCUG